AAGUUACCCUGUCCUCUAGUCACAGACCAUGAGGCUUCAGUGGAUGUCUUAGCUAAGAAUCUAAGUGUGCAACAAGGACCCUGGAUGUUGCACUUCUCUGGCUACAGGGAUUGAUCGCGGAGAAGCACAUGAGCUGACUUGUGGGCAAAAAGAGAUUUCUGAAAAGGACAUUUUCCUGUUACUGGACAUGAACUUGAAAGGAUGUGAGAUCUACAGCUUCUGUCUCAGAAUCUUAAGAAAUGGGAAGAGAGAAGGCACAGCAACAACCUCAGGCCGUGGAGACUCCCUGGUGACCUGGAUGCAGCCAUGAUACCUGAGGACAUGGAAGACAUACAUAAUUCAGGUGAAGGCAGUCAUUCCCACAGGCCAUGAAGAGGGUCACACCAGGAACCAGUCAGGUGGCACCUCAGUCUUAGACUUUCAGCCUGCAGCACUGUGAAAGUGCAAUGAACAGAAUAGAGAGAGACACAGCAUAAUGAAAGACUUACCUAUGCUGGGCGCCUGGGUGGCUCAGUUGGUUAAGCGACUGCCUUCGGCUCAGGUCAUGAUCCUGGAGUCCCUGGAUCGAGUCCCGCGUUGGGCUCCCUGCUCGGCAGGGAGCCUGCUUCUGCCUCUGACCCUCCCCACUCUCAUGUGCUCUCUCUCUCUCAUUCUCUCUGUCUCAAAUAAAUAAAUUAAAAAAAAUCUUAAAAAAAAAAAGACUUACCUAUGCUAAAGAGACUUAGUGAUUUCUAAACAAUUUUAUAGCUAAAAAUAGAGAAACCAGAUGAUUUGAUCUUCAGAUAAUUUGGCAAACUGUUGUUAGAGUUCUGCUACUGUUUUUUUUUGUUUGUUUUUGUUUUUACUAGUUCUGAUAGAAUGAGACUUGUCAGUGCUUAUCUCAUUCCUUUCUCUGCCAUUCCUCUGGAGGAGGUAUCAGUGAGCUAUAAAAUGGAAAUAGAUACAGAAGGAGGAGCUGUCUAAAUAAUGUCUAAGAGGAAUGAUUGAUCAUUGAGUAAAUAGAAACUAUUUCUGGGAUACCUUACCAACAGAAAACACAGAGUAAAGGCACAACAGUGUGGGUCCAUGGUGUGUGCGUGUAUGCGUGUGUGUGUGUGUGUGUGUGUGUGUGUGUGUGUAGCAGGGAGAGGUGGAGGAGAAUGGUAGCAUCACUACAUAAGCAAGUUGGCCAAUUAGGUAAUCUGAACUAUUCCUGCUGCCAAGACACCUAGAAAUGCUGGAUGUGAUGCAGCAAAUAUACUUUUAUUUUAUUUUUUUAAAGAUCUAUUUAUUGGGGCAUCUGGGUGGCUCAGUUGUUAAGCGUCUGCCUUUGGCUCAGGUCAUGAUCCCAGGAUCCUGGGAUCGAGCCCCACAUCGGGCUCCCUGUUCUGCGGGAGCCUGCUUCUCCUUCUCCCUCUCCACCUGCUUGUGUUCCCUCUCUCACUGUGUCUCUCUCUGCCAA